rnacentral:tRNA from 1 species
GCCGAGGUCGCAUAACCAGGUAGUGCGCGCGCCUGGAGAGCGCGUUCCCUCGUGGAUUGAGAGUUCAAAUCUCUCCCUCGGCG